GACGAACGCUGGCGGCGUGCUUAACACAUGCAAGUCGAGCGGAAAGGCCCUUCGGGGUACUCGAGCGGCGAACGGGUGAGUAACACGUGAGUAACCUGCCCCAGACUUUGGGAUAACCCUCGGAAACGGGGGCUAAUACCGGAUACGACACUUCAUCGCAUGGUGUGAGUGUGGAAAGUUUUUUCGGUUUGGGAUGGGCUCGCGGCCUAUCAGCUUGUUGGUGGGGUGAUGGCCUACCAAGGCGACGACGGGAGCCGGCCUGAGAGGGCGACCGGCCACACUGGGACUGAGACACGGCCCAGACUCCUACGGGGAGGCAGCAGUGGGGAAUAUUGCACAAUGGGCGGAAGCCUGAUGCAGCGACGCCGCGUGAGGGAUGACGG
rnacentral:rRNA from 1 species